GAUAUCAACUUAGUUGAAUAAAGUUCUGAGUAGAUCUAGAUAAUGACUUAAUCUGCUCAUGUGUCUUGACCAAAGUACGUGCCAGCAGUCGCGGUAAGACGUUAAAGACUAGUGUUAUUCAUCGUUAGCAGGUUUAAAGGGUACUUAGACGGCAAAUCAAGCUAUAAAGGACUAAUUUGCUAGAGUUACUUGUGAAGGGGCUUGAAAGUACUGGUGGUGUAGAGAUAAAAUGUUAAUAUACCUUUUUUCUGGCACUGGUAAAGGCGAAAGCAUCCCCUUAUGUGAUAACUGACGUUAAAGGACGAAGGCUUUGGGCCGCGAAUAGGAUUAGAUACCCUAGUAGUCAAAGGAGAGAAUUAUGAGUGUCAUAGAUUAGAUUUGAUCUAUAAAUGAAAGUGUAAGCACUCCACCUUAAGAGUAAUGUGGCAACACCGAAAUUGAAAUCAUUAGACCGUUUCUGAAACCAGUAGUGAAGUAUGUUGUUUAAUUUGAUGAUCCGCAAAAAACCUUACCACAACUUGCAUAUACACAAGCGUUGCACGGCUGUCUUAAGUUAGUGUCGUGAGAUCUUGAUUAGAUUCAUUAAAUUGACGUAAACCCUCGUUAUACUUUUAUGUAUAAUGGUUCACCGCUAUAUUGGAUGCGAUAAUAGGGAAUAAGAC
rnacentral:rRNA from 1 species